GGCUCUUUGAAGAUUCCAGAUAAAGAGUCGGACCUGCCCAGUGAAUUUUUUUAACGGCCGCGGUACUCUGACCGUGCAAAGGUAGCAUAAUCAUUUGCCUUAUAAUUGAAGGCUAGUAUGAAUGGUUUGACAAGAAUAUAGCUGUCUCUAUGUAAUUAUAUAGAAUUUUAUAUUGAAGUGAAGAAGCUUGAAUAAAAUUAAAAGACAAGAAGACCCUAUCGAGCUUGAAAUAAUAAUAUAGAGGCAUGUCAAUUAAGUUAAAAUAUUAACUAUAUUAAAUUUUAGUUGGGGCGACUUAGGAACAUAAAAAGCUUCCUAAAUAUAAAAAAUAUGACAAAUUUGAUCCAAAAUAUUUUGAUUAAUGAAAUUAGUUACCGUAGGGAUAACAGCAUUAUCUUCUUUAAGAGUUCUAAUCGAAAAGAGGGUUUGUGACCUCGAUGUUGGACCAGAAUGUCCUGAAGAUGCAGCAGUCUUUAAGGGUUGGUCUGUUCGACCAUUAAAAUUCUACG
rnacentral:rRNA from 1 species